rnacentral:misc_RNA from 1 species
GAAUCUUAGAGUAGAAAACCUUGAUAGAUGGUAUCUUGGCCAUGAAACGUAUAUGAGAAUCAUCAAUCCUGAGGAAAACGGUGCAACAGAGAUGGCUCCGCCAGAUAACGUUAGAUAUUGUGGUGCCCUUCAAAGCUUGCAGAAGUAUAUUAUGAAGACCUUUUAAUAUUAUAUAAUCUCUGUCCGUCUCUCUCUGUUGUUUGUGAUAUAUCUAAUGCUGUUUUUUGUUGCUUCAGGAACUCAACUCACUCCUCUGCAACAUCCAUUCUGGCUGGAAAAUCAGUGGUGUUUUCCUCCCUGCUGAUAGCACUCUGUUCCUCAUUCUUCAUUUUCGGGUAACCUGUUUCAGACAGUGUUUGCUUGUAUUGGCUAGUUCUAGGUGUAACAUUAACAGCUGAGUAUACUUGUAUUGCAUAGUUGGAUUAGAUUUGAAACUUUUUUUCUUUUCAUAGAAAAUUUUCAGGGUGUUAUGACAUUCAAUUUUUUAUUUAUUCUUUCUGUCUGUGGGGUUAUCUGCCCUUUUAAUUGUAAUUUAGGUCACUGAGGCUCCAAGCUACAUACUGAAUGGUGAUUAACCCUUUCUUUUGGUACCAUCUGACCAUUUACACAAGAAUUUUGUAUAAACAUCUUUAAUAAUAAUUGAUUUCUAAGAUCAUCAUUCCAUUAACUUUAUGGAAAUGACUGAUCA